AUUUUUGAAUGUUUCGUGUGCCCGACAACUUAUUUUCCCAAUCUUACGCCGAGGACCCUCAGCUGCUCUGACCUAUCCAGGAGAUUUAUCACUAAAUGGACUGAAGGCUUACUACCAACACCAAUGGUUGAUACUUCCUCAAAUGCCUGCAUUUUCAGGAUUCCCCUCGGCACUUUGACAUGAGCGUCGAUUAGGAGAUGCGCCAACAUUUUCUGUUUAGCUAUGGAUCCACGCAAAAUACUCAGCUUUGUCGUCCAUCUCAAAUCCAGGGUACAUAAAUGGGCCCUUUAAUGUUAGGCCGGAUGGGCUAUGCACUAUUGCUCUCUCUCUCUCCUUUAAUUUCUUUCUCUAAAUUCCUUUGUAGAAACUAGAAAGAAGAAGUAGAAAUAGAGAAGGAUGGAAAAGAAAUGGCUAGGGUGCAUG
rnacentral:lncRNA from 1 species